GUCCUGUUCGUCUAGUUGGUUAGGAUACUGGAUUUUCAUUCCAGCAACAGGGGUUCAAAUCCCCUACAGGAUG
rnacentral:tRNA from 1 species